rnacentral:rRNA from 1 species
UGUACAACUCUGAGCGGUGGAUCACUCGGCUCGUGUGUCGAUGAAGAGCGCAGCCAACUGUGUGAAUUAAUGUGAACUGCAUACUGCUUUGAACAUCGACAUCUUGAACGCAUAUUGCGGCCAUGGGUUAGCCUGUGGCCACGCCUGUCCGAGGGUCGGC